UACGUAGGUGGCAAGCGUUGUCCGGAUUUACUGGGCGUAAAGAGCGCGCAGGCGGUCGUUCAAGUCGCGUGUGAAAGCCCCCGGCUCAACUGGGGAGGUCACGCGAUACUGAUCGACUCGAAGGCAGGAGAGGGUAGUGGAAUUCCCGGUGUAGUGGUGAAAUGCGUAGAUAUCGGGAAGAACAUCAGUGGCGAAGGCGGCCUGCUGGGCUGUUGCUGACGCUGAGGCGCGACAGCGUGGGGGAGCAAACAGG
rnacentral:rRNA from 1 species